CCUACGGGUGGCAGCAGUGAGGAAUAUUGGUCAAUGGGCGCGAGCCUGAACCCGCCAAGUAGCGUGAAGGAUGACUGCCCUACGGGUUGUAAACUUCUUUUAUAAAGGAAUAAGGUGAGGCACGUGUGCCUUUUGGUAUGUCCUUUAUGAAUAAGUAUCGGCUAACUCCCUUCCCGCAGCCGCGGUAAAACGGAGGAUCCGAGCGUUAGCGGGAUUUAUUGGGUUUAAAGGGAGCGUAGAUGGGUUGUUAAGUCAGUUGUGAAAGUUUGCGGCUCAACCGUAAAAUUGCAAUUGAUACUGGCAGUCUUGAGUACAGUUGAGGUAGGCGGAAUUCGUGGUGUAGCGGUGAAAUGCUUAGAUAUCACGAAGAACUCCGAUUGCGAAGGCAGCUUACUAAACUGCCACUGACAUUGAUGCUCGAAAGUGUGGGUAUCAAACAGGAUUAGAUACCCUAGUAGUC
rnacentral:rRNA from 1 species